CCUACGGGAGGCAGCAGUAGGGAAUAUUGCACAAUGGGGGAAACCCUGAUGCAGCGACGCCGCGUGAGUGAAGAAGUAUUUCGGUACGUAAAGCUCUAUCAACAGGGAAGAAAAAAAGUCCUUUGGACUUUGGACGGUACCUGACCAAGAAGCCCCGGCUAACUACGUGCCAGCAGCCGCGGUAAUAAGUAGGGGGCAAGCGUUAUCCGGAUUUACUGGGUGUAAAGGGAGCGUAGACGGCAGCGCAAGUCUGGAGUGAAAUGCCGGGGCGCAACCCCGGAACUGCUUUGGAAACUGUGCAGCUGGAGUGCAGGAGAGGUAAGCGGAAUUCCUAGUGUAGCGGUGAAAUGCGUAGAUAUUAGGAGGAACACCAGUGGCGAAGGCGGCUUACUGGACUGUAACUGACGUUGAGGCUCGAAAGCGUGGGGAGCAAACAGGAUUAGAUACCCCAAUAGUC
rnacentral:rRNA from 1 species